rnacentral:rRNA from 1 species
UACGUAGGGUGCGAGCGUUGUCCGGAAUUACUGGGCGUAAAGAGCUCGUAGGCGGUCCAUCGCGUCGGGAGUGAAAAGCUGGGGCUUAACCCCAGUCCUGCUUUCGAUACGGGUGGACUAGAGGUAGGCAGGGGAGAAUGGAAUUCCUGGUGUAGCGGUGAAAUGCGCAGAUAUCAGGAGGAACACCGGUGGCGAAGGCGGUUCUCUGGGCCUGUACUGACGCUGAGGAACGAAAGCGUGGGGAGCGAACAGG